UACAGAGGGGGCAAGCGUUGUUCGGAAUUACUGGGCGUAAAGGGCGCGUAGGCGGCCUUCUAAGUCGAACGUGAAAUCCCCGGGCUCAACCCGGGAACUGCGUCCGAUACUGGGAGGCUUGAAUCCGGGAGAGGGAUGUGGAAUUCCAGGUGUAGCGGUGAAAUGCGCAGAUAUCAGGAGGAACACCAAUGGCGAAGGCAGCUCACUGGGACGGUAUUGACGCUGAGACGCGAAAGCGUGGGGAGCAAACAGG
rnacentral:rRNA from 1 species